AUACGGAGGGUGCAAGCGUUACUCGGAAUCACUGGGCGUAAAGCGCGCGCAGGCGGCUAUUUAAGUUGGAUGUGAAAGCCUACGGCUCAACCGUAGAACUGCAUCCAAAACUAUUUAGCUAGAGUGUGGGAGAGGAAGAUGGAAUUAGUUGUGUAGGGGUAAAGUCCGUAGAGAUAAAUAGGAAUACCAAAAGCGAAGGCAAUCUUCUGGAACACUACUGACGCUGAGGCGCGAAAGCGUGGGGAGCAAACAGGAUUAGAAACCCUAGUAGUCC
rnacentral:rRNA from 1 species